CCUACGGGUGGCAGCAGUGGGGAAUAUUGCGCAAUGGGCGAAAGCCUGACGCAGCGACGCCGCGUGAGGGAUGAAGGUCUUCGGAUCGUAAACCUCUGUCAGCAGGGCAGAACGGUCACUGUGCUAAUCAGCAGUGAAUUGACGGUACCUGCAAAGGAAGCACCGGCUAACUCCGUGCCAGCAGCCGCGGUAAUACGGAGGGAGCGGGCGUUAAUCGGAAUUACUGGGCGUAAAGCGCUCGUAGGCGGUAUGUCAAGUCAAGGGUGAAAUCCCCGCGCUCAACGUGGGAACUGCCUUUGAAACUGGCAAACUGGAGUGUGUGAGAGGAUAGUGGAAUUCCAGGUGUAGGAGUGAAAGCCGUAGAUAUCUGGAGGAACAUCAGUGGCGAAGGCGACUAUCUGGCACAUAACUGACGCUGAGGAGCGAAAGCGUGGGUAGCAAACAGGAUUAGAUACCCUUGUAGUC
rnacentral:rRNA from 1 species